rnacentral:rRNA from 1 species
UACAUGUGGGGCAAGCGUUGUUCGGAAUUACUGGGCAUAAAGGGUGCGUAGGUGGCUUGUUAAGUCAGGGGUGAAAGUUUUCGGCCCAACCGGAAAAUGGCCUUUGAUACUGGCGAGCUCGAGUGCGUGAGGGGUAACCGGAACGAGCAGUGUAGCGGUGAAAUGCGUAGAUAUCGGAAGGAACAUCAGUGGCAAAAGCGACUUCCUGGACCAAUACUGACGCUCAUGUGCGAAAGCGUGGGGAGCAAACAGG